UGGGGAAUCUUAGACAAUGGGGGAAACCCUGAUCUAGCCAUGCCGCGUGUGUGAAGAAGGCCUUCGGGUUGUAAAGCACUUUUGUCCGGAAAGAAAUCCUUGGCUCUAAUACAGUCGGGGGAUGACGGUACCGGAAGAAUAAGCACCGGCUAACUACGUGCCAGCAGCCGCGGUAAUACGUAGGGUGCAAGCGUUAAUCGGAAUUACUGGGCGUAAAGCGUGCGCAGGCGGUUUGCUAAGACCGAUGUGAAAUCCCCGGGCUCAACCUGGGAACUGCAUUGGUGACUGCAGGCUAGAGUAUGGCAGAGGGGGGUAGAAUUCCACGUGUAGCAGUGAAAUGCGUAGAGAUGUGGAGGAAUACCGAUGGCGAAGGCAGCCCCCUGGGCCAAUACUGACGCUCAUGCACGAAAGCGUGGGGAGCAAAACAGGAUUAGAUACCCUGGUAGUCCACGCCCUAAAACGAUGUCAACUAGUUGUUGGGGGAUUCAUUUCCUUAGUAACGUAGCUAACGCGUGAAGUUGACCGCCUGGGGAGUACGGUCGCAAGAUUAAAACUUAAA
rnacentral:rRNA from 1 species